UAUUUUUUUAUUUAUUUAUUUAUUUAUUUUUUUUUUUUUUUACGUUGCUGCCUAUUGCGCCGGUAGGCAUCUUCCCGGUGGGGCCUGAUGGUCGGCCCAAGGCUUCUUCCAGGUGUGGCCUGAUGGUCGGCCCAAGGCUUCUUCCAGGUGUGGCCUGAUGGUCGGCCCAAGGCUUCUUCCAGGUGUGGCCUGAUGGUCGGCCCAAGGCUUCUUCCAGGUGUGGCCUGAUGGUCGGCCCAAGGCUUCUUCCAGGUGUGGCCUGAUGGUCGGCCCAAGGCUUCUUCCAGGUGUGGCCUGAUGGUCGGCCCAAGGCUUCUUCCAGGUGGGGCCUGAUGGUCGGCCCAAGGCUUCUUCCAGGUGUGGCCUGAUGGUCGGCCCAAGGCUUCUUCCAGGUGUGGCCUGAUGGUCGGCCCAAGGCUUCUUCCAGGUGUGGCCUGAUGGUCGGCCCAAGGCUUCUUCCAGGUGUGGCCUGAUGGUCGGCCCAAGGCUUCUUCCAGGUGGGGCCUGAUGGUCGGCCCAAGGCUUCUUCCAGGUGGGGCCUGAUGGUCGGCCCAAGGCUUCUUCCAGGUGGGGCCUGAUGGUCGGCCCAAGGCUUCUUCCAGGUGGGGCCUGAUGGUCGGCCCAAGGCUUCUUCCAGGUGGGGCCUGAUGGUCGGCCCAAGGCUUCUUCCAGGUGGGGCCUGAUGGUCGGCCCAAGGCUUCUUCCAGUUGGGGCCUGAUGGUCGGCCCAAGGCUUCUUCCAGGUGGGGCCUGAUGGUCGGCUCAGCCCGUUCUGGCGCAGGCGAGUGUUUAUAGUGGCGCCAUCUUGCAUUGCGAGAUGCGUGGCUCCCCACGCACGCUCGGGUGGUGCGUAGCGACCCCCCGUCUCCGCCCCGUAUGCCCACGUACGUAAAUACGCAUUACGGGACAUUUACGUAGUACUUACGUAAGCGGUUGCCGACUACCAAUUUCUGUUCGUGCGUGGGCGUAAGUGGCUUGAUACGUGAAUGUGUGACCGAGGCAUAAUACUUCACCCCGCCAGCUGCACCUCCAAUAUUUUGAACCUGCGCGUUGCGUGCGGCCCGGUGUCAGUCCAAUGUGUUUAUAUCAAAGAAAUAUGCUGCCCAGCCGGGACCAAAGAUUCGUAACUAAGAAUGCUAACCACUACACCAGGGAGGCGUAAGACAAAAUCGAGUGCAGGCAUAGACAGGAGCGGACCAAUAACAAAAUAUAUACCUCAUAACAAAGGAGCUUGGGUGAUGGGAAUAAAUAAAAGAUAUAACCCUCCCUGUUUUAGAUGCACCUCAGGCGAGCAAUUUACAUUUCCUUUUAGCAUCUCUUGCUGCCUCUAUAGGAGAGACAUUUCAGACUUUUUUUGUUUUUUUUUUGUUUUUAUUUUUUAGCCCUUGGUCAGUCUCCUCAUACCACUGGAGAGUCGCUAUACAAGGCAAGGACUUCAUCGAUAAACAAACUCCAACUCUGUUCUUGAGAAAACCUGCCCGUCAUGUGUGUUACAACGGGCUAUUUUUAACACGCGAGUCGAGGAAUCGAGGACAGUGUGGUGACGACAGACGAAGAGCCCUGAUCUGCGGUAAACUUACUCACCGGUCUUAUAGGUUGUUAUUACAAGACACUUUCGCUUCUCACAUCAGCUCUUUCUAAAGGUCAGAGAGGGGGUUAGUCGGGUUCUAAUGAGUGUUUCUUCAGGUUCAUGGUACAGAGGAAGGGUCAAACUACCACCAGGGUCAUAAAACUACCCCUGGAAAUCCCCACAACUCCUACGAAAGCUUUGUCAAAUAGGUGUUUUUGGCCAACGAAAUGUCUUAUAAUACGACCCAUAGAGUUCAGAGUUUGUCAAACUUCGGAUCACAUGGAGAUGUGGUCUCCACUAUUACUUUCCUCAAAGCGAGAACAUUUUUAUCGUGGGAACAUCUCCAAGAUAGGAUAAGACGGGGAGAGAGGAAGCCCAACUGGUAAUAUAAAGGAAAGUUCAAGUACAGGUCAUGACCCUCUACUGAAUCAAAGAACGCAACUUACUGAACAGCAGAUAAAUACUGGAUAGUACAAGUAUACACCAUACAUAUACCUGAAGUGCGUCGCCUAAAGAUAAUUUUUAAGUCCACUAAUAUAGGUAUAGUUAAUUUCAACUGUACUAUUAAGUAUCAGAAAAGAAAACAACAAAUACCAGUUUUUUGCACGUUUCGAGUAGGAAUUUAGUACAUAAAUAUCAUUUGUAAAGGAGGCAUACCACGAAAAAUUGUGGUAAAAGAAAGAAAUGGUGACGAGUGUUUUCAGACAAUACUCAGGUUGAGGAAAAAGCAGGACCUCAGCGGAACAUUGACCUGCUCAAAGCAUAUAAAAGUCAAGAAAGGGAAAACUGUUUAAUGUUACUGACACUUAUAUCAACAGAGGGUCAAUGGCUCUGCUCAAGUCAACGGACAACUCUUAAACGAUGCUCAUUAUGUGCACACUCACACCUCCGAGCGUGUCUGUCUCCUCACGACGUGACGCUUGGACUAAAUUAUACAAAGGUGACUAAACGAUGUGUGUGUGUGUGUGUGUGUGUGUGUGUGUGUGUGUG